UAGGUAAUUUCGCAAACCACUCUAACUGUCACCGCCUAAAUCUCUGCUUUACCAAGAUUUUCCUUCGCAUCUCUCUUUUCGCUUUGUUUAGAUUCCCUUGGCUUCUCCACUGACGCAUCAAUUUCUGCUAUAUAUUGACAAGAGAUUGUGAUUUUUGCUGAGUUUUUGCAAUUCAAUAUUUGCUCCAUCAAGAUAAUCACAAAGUUAGAAGGUUAGUUUUACUCUUCCGUUUCUUUUCCUUCAACUGUUGUUGGGUUUGGAUUGUUUUCUCGAGGAUCUGCCUAAAUUAAUUCAACUUAGCAGUUUACACUCGAUUUGUUUAUGCAAUUUGUAUAAUCCAAGCCCUUAAAAUUUCUCUAUUCCAAUUUCGGUCUGCAAUUUUUGUUGCAAUGUUUGUGGUAUUUCAAAUUUGCAUAUGCUUGUUAAUCCAUCUUUGUCCUUCAGAGUUAGAUUAUAAACUUCAUGUAUACCGAGAGAUAAAGACGAGAAGUAGUACUUGGAACAAAACAAAGAGGUUCUUCAAAGUGCUGGCCUGGGAAGCAGAAACAAUGCUUCUACUAAAAUACAUGACUUCGACUAUAUAGGCCAGCUUGUUGUCUCGGUCGCAAGGUAAAAACACUCUGCUUCCUAAGAGCACGACAACUAUUAGGGACCUAAUAUAGCUGAUAGAACUACAGCAACAACAAGAAGAAAGUUAAUUAAUUGUAUAGAUUUUGAAUCAAAUUAUGUAGAUUUUGUUCAACUUUGCUUCACAGUUUGUAAACAAAAGUUUUUUAUGUUAAAUCAAAAAUUUAUAAGCUCCUUGGGCCCAGGCACCGCCCGGGCUACCGCCAACUAGUUUCGAAAGAAGGGGCGGCUGGAUCAUUUAUUAUUA